rnacentral:rRNA from 1 species
ACUACCCUAAGCGGUGGAUCACUCGGAACGUACGUCGAUGAAGAGCGGAGCCAGCUCCGUGAAGUAAUGUGAAUUGCAGGACACAUUGAACAUCGACAUCUUGAACGCAUAUUGCGGCUUCGGGUCACUCCCGAAGCCACGCCCGUCUCAGGGUCGGUAAUCUAACCCAUCGCAA